rnacentral:misc_RNA from 1 species
GAGCUAGACUCUCCAUC